rnacentral:rRNA from 1 species
UACGUAGGGUGCAAGCGUUGUCCGGAAUUAUUGGGCGUAAAGAGCUCGUAGGCGGUUUGUCGCGUCUGCUGUGAAAACUCGGGGCUCAACCCCGGGCCUGCAGUGGGUACGGGCAGACUAGAGUGCGGUAGGGGAGACUGGAAUUCCUGGUGUAGCGGUGAAAUGCGCAGAUAUCAGGAGGAACACCGGUGGCGAAGGCGGGUCUCUGGGCCGAUACUGACGCUGAGGAGCGAAAGCGUGGGGAGCAAACAGG